AUGAGUGGAGGUAACAAUGGUUCCGGAAAGGUGGAGUGGCCGGAGCUGUUGGGCGCCCCGGCGACGCCGGCGGUGAGCAAGAUCCGCCGGGACAGGCCGGACGUCAACGUGGUGGUGCUCCCGGACCAAACUCCGGUGCCCAUUGGGUUCAACAGCAAGCGCGUCCGCGUCUUCUACGACUCGCAACAGCCCGGUGCACUUGUCGCCAACAUCCCCAUGGUCGGCUAG
rnacentral:rRNA from 1 species